GACGAACGCUGGCGGCGUGCUUAACACAUGCAAGUCGAGCGGUAAGGCCCUUUCGGGGGUACACGAGCGGCGAACGGGUGAGUAACACGUGGGUGACCUGCCCUCAGCUCUGGGAUAAGCCUGGGAAACCGGGUCUAAUACUGGAUAUGACUCCAUGGCGCAUGUUGUGGGGUGGAAAGCCUUGUGCGGCUGAGGAUGGGCCCGCGGUCUAUCAGCUUGUUGGUGGGGUGANGGCCUACCAAGGCGACGACGGGUAGCCGGCCUGAGAGGGCGACCGGCCACACUGGGACUGAGACACGGCCCAGACUCCUACGGGAGGCAGCAGUGGGGAAUCUUGCGCAAUGGGCGAAAGCCUGACGCAGCGACGCCGCGUGAGGGAUGACGGCCU
rnacentral:rRNA from 1 species